rnacentral:rRNA from 1 species
GGGGACCCGCAAGCGGUGGAUGAUGUGGAUUAAUUCGAUGCAACGCGAAAAACCUUACCUACCCUUGACAUGUACGGAAGCCUGGAGAGAUCCGGGUGUGCUCGAAAGAGAGCCGUAACACAGGUGCUGCAUGGCUGUCGUCAGCUCGUGUCGUGAGAUGUUGGGUUAAGUCCCGCAACGAGCGCAACCCUUGUCAUUAGUUGCUACGAAAGGGCACUCUAAUGAGACUGCCGGUGACAAACCGGAGGAAGGUGGGGAUGACGUCAAGUCCUCAUGGCCCUUAUGGGUAGGGCUUCACACGUCAUACAAUGGUACAUACAGAGGGCCGCCAACCCGCGAGGGGGAGCUAAUCCCAGAAAGUGUAUCGUAGUCCGGAUCGCAGUCUGCAACUCGACUGCGUGAAGUUGGAAUCGCUAGUAAUCGCGGAUCAGCAUGUCGCGGUGAAUACGUUCCCGGGUCUUGUACACACC